rnacentral:rRNA from 1 species
AUAACAGUUCGAAAGAACUGCUAAUACCUCAUGUGAUCACCGGUUUUAGAAUCUGGUGAUUAAAGGUGAAAAUCACUUCGGGAGGGGCCUGCGUCCCAUCAGCUAGUUGGUAAGGUAAUGGCUUACCAAGGCGAUGACGGGUAGGGGACCUGAGAGGGUGGCCCCCCACAAUGGAACUGAAACACGGUCCAUACACCUACGGGUGGCAGCAGUAGGGAAUAUUGCAAAUGGGCGAAAGCCUGAUGUAGCAACGCCGCGUGUGCGAUGAAGGUCUUCGGAUUGUAAAGCACUUUUUGGAGGGAUGAGGAAGGACAGUACCUCCAGAAUAAGCCUCGGCUAACUACGUGCCAGCAGCCGCGGUAACACGUAGGAGGCAAGCGUUAUUCGGAUUUACUGGGCGUAAAGCGCGUGCAGGCGGUUUGGAAUGUUGGAUGUGAAAGCUCCUGGCUCAACUGGGAGAGGUCGUUCAAAACUUCCAGACUUGAGAGUGGUAGAGGGAGGUGGAAUUCCGGGUGUAGUGGUGAAAUGCGUAGAUAUCCGGAGGAACACCAGUGGCGAAAGCGGCCUCCUGGACCACUUCUGACGCUCAGACGCGAAAGCUAGGGUAGCAAACGGGAUUAGAGACCCCGGUAGUCCUAGCUGUAAACGAUGUGAACUUGGCGUUGGUGGGUUUAAAUCCAUCAGUGCCGAAGCUAACGCGAUAAGUUCACCGCCUGGGGACUACGGCCGCAAGGUUAAAACUCAAAAGAAUUGACGGA